rnacentral:rRNA from 1 species
AGUGAACGCUGGCGGUAGGCCUAACACAUGCAAGUCGAACGGCAGCACAGGAGAGCUUGCUCUCUGGGCGGCGAGUGGCGGACGGGUGAGGAAUACAUCGGAAUCUACUCUGUCGUGGGGGAUAACGUAGGGAAACUUACGCUAAUACCGCAUACGACCUACGGGUGAAAGCAGGGGACCUUCGGGCCUUGCUCGAUUGAAUGAGCCGAUGUCGGAUUAGCUAGUUGGCGGGGUAAAGGCCCACCAAGGCGACGAUCCGUAGCUGGUCUGAGAGGAUGAUCAGCCACACUGGAACUGAGACACGGUCCAGACUCCUACGGGAGGCAGCAGUGGGGAAUAUUGGACAAUGGGCGCAAGCCUGAUCCAGCCAUACCGCGUGGGUGAAGAAGGCCUUCGGGUUGUAAAGCCCUUUUGUUGGGAAAGAAAUCCAGCUGGCUAAUACCCGGUUGGGAUGACGGUACCCAAAGAAUAAGCACCGGCUAACUUCGUGCCAGCAGCCGCGGUAA